UUCCGGUUGAUCCUGCCGGACCCGACUGCUAUCAGAGUGGGACUAAGCCAUGCGAGUCGACGUAGCAAUGCGUGGCGAACGGCUCAGUAACACGUAGUCAACAUGCCCAGGGGACGUGGAUAACCUCGGGAAACUGAGAAUAGACCACGAUAGGUCACGAUUUCUGGAAUGGAUCAUGGCCUAAAUCUACAUGGCCCCUGGAUUGGACUGCGGCCGAUCAGGCUGUUGGUGAGGUAAUGGCCCACCAAACCUAUAACCGGUACGGGCUCUGAGAGGAGAAGCCCGGAGAUGGGCACUGAGACAAGGGCCCAGGCCCUAUGGGGCGCAGCAGGCGCGAAACCUCUGCAAUAGGCGAAAGCCUGACAGGGUUACUCUGAGUGAUUUCCGCUAAGGGGAUCUUUUGGCACCUCCAAAAAUGGUGCAGAAUAAGGGGUGGGCAAGUCUGGUGUCAGCCGCCGCGGUAACACCAGCACCCCGAGUGGUCGGGACGAUUAUUGGGCCUAAAGCAUCCGUAGCCGGUUCUGCAAGUCUUCCGUUAAAUCCAGCCGCUCAACGGAUGGGCCGCGGAGGAUACUACAGGACUAGGAGGCGGGAGAGGCAAGCGGUACUCAGUGGGUAGGGGUAAAAUCCUUUGAUCCAUUGAAGACCACCAGUGGCGAAGGCGGCUUGCCAGAACGCGCUCGACGGUGAGGGAUGAAAGCUGGGGGAGCAAACCGGAUUAGAUACCCGGGUAGUCCCAG
rnacentral:rRNA from 1 species